rnacentral:tRNA from 1 species
GGAGGGAUCGCAUAGUGGUCUAGUGCGGCCGCCUGCUAAGCGGUUGCCCGGCCUAAAAGCUGGGUCUCGGGUUCGAAUCCCGAUCCCUCCGCCA